rnacentral:lncRNA from 1 species
GAGAAGUAUAUCCUGGUCAGUGAAGUAAAGACCUACUUGUUCCACAGCCACCUCACCUAGGACUGUGAAUCAAACCAAUAACCCAUUCGUGACGGGGUAGACCCGGAACAUGCAGUCUACGAUUCUCAAAUUACAGCAGAAGGGAGGCUCUUCUGAAGUUGAAACACACCAUCAUUUCAUCAACAAGAAAACAAACAAAGGAGCAACAGGCAAAUAAAACCAUUGCUUCAUUCAAAGUUGGCACAAAUGAUGACCAUGCACACUCCUGGUUUCACAGAAAAUUGGACCGUGGACAGAGACAACUUAAAGGUACAAUACUAGGUGUGGGUCUGAAGCACCUCCAUACUCUGGAAAACAACUCAAAUGUGAGUAGUCCCCUAAUGACAUUCUCUCCUAUGCCC